rnacentral:tRNA from 1 species
UCCCUGUGGUCCAGUGGCUAAGAUUCUGCGCUUCCAACGCAAGCGGUCCAGGUUCAAUCCCUGGUCAGGGAA